rnacentral:lncRNA from 1 species
AGGUGCAUCGGUAGUUCACCUUGAGGGUGCUAUAGUUUAACUACACCAUAACUCGGUCUCCUAGCCAUAUGGAGCCUUGAGGUGUAUGUUGGCUAUAGUAUUCAUUGUAGGAAUUAGAUUGCACUAAGAUAGGAUUUAUUAACCUCAGUAAAAGAGUAGUCCUAUGUAGAUCAUUUGAUUGAGUUCUAAAGCAUAUGGACAUGGCAGUAUAAAUGAUG